UCCGGUUGGUACUGAGUAAUGCAAGAGUGAAUCCACAACUUGCAAACUCCACUUUUGAUCAGAGGUGAGGCAAUGAACGACUUGGAUUGGCGCCAGUUGCUUCACCGUCAAAUCACCUUUGAGCUUCUUCUUAUGACCUGAGCUUGUCUCCCCCUUUCUUCUGGCUUCUUGCCUCCAUUUAGGAGUUGAGACAAAGCUUUUCUUUGUUCAUGAGCUCAAUAGGUACUUUUAGGUACUUCCCUUGCAUCAGUUUGUUGAAUGUUGGUGAGGAUUACUAAGCACUUGAAUCCUCCACGCCAUUCCUUCUCUCAACCAGCCUUUGCAUUGUUCUCUUGAAGUUUCAACAUGUAGGGGGACUUUGCAACUCCAUAAUUUGCCACCAUCAUGUGAUUGCUUAGCCAAGAAUGUCCCUGAUUGAAUAAUCCUUGCAUCUGGCUGGUGAGAACAGUGAGGAGUGACAGCUUCUUCAGACUGAUCACUUAAGUCCUCUUUUAAUUCGCCAACCUCUUGCUGGUCUUCUAUGAGGAAAUGGGACACUGGAUACAGUAAGCUUCAUGGAUCUUUUGGUAGCUCACUGAUAUUCCCCUCCUCAAGCUUGACUGAGUAUAGUGACAAGCUUGAACGUGAGCUUCAAUGAGUUUUGAACUGGGAGCACAACAAUACCAACAUCUGCGCUUAAGCCAACCAGUUCACCAUCUUCCAGGAGCACAACAAUACCAACAUCUGCGCUUAAGCCAACUGGAUCACCAUUUGCCUUCAGCUCCAAUGUCUUUGGACCACCAGUCUCCUCAUGACUUAGGUGAUGGCCUUCCUUGUGAGUCUCUUGAACCAGGAGCACAACAGCUCCUACGCCUGCGCUUAAGUCAACUGAUUCCACUCACAAGGUAUCUUUACAUGGUCAGGACUAAACACCUUGAUCCAUGCCUCUGACCACCGGCCACUCUUGGCUUAGUGAUGGCCUUUUCUCUUGAGUGCACCUCCUGUACAUCCUCUUGGCAUCAGGUAAGUCACUUCUGAGCAGUUUCUCCAAUUCUCCAACAUCCUUUCUAUCUUCAGGGUAGGAAAUGGGCAGACACAUAGAUAGGAUUUGGGACUGGGCAAUCUCCACGGUUCAGGAAUAUCCAUCUUGGGAGGCUCUGAAAAACGUGGGCAAUGCCUUCUUCUUUGUCUUAGUUUGAUGAUGGACAGAGAUCACCUCUUGUGUACCUGAAACAUCACUCAAACUCCAGCAAGAAUCAGACCACACACACUAGGAUCAGCCCUUGAUAAUUCACCAAGUCUGAUCCCAAUGUUUUAAGA